UCACAAAAUUUCAAUGCACACCUUAAGCUAAGCAUCAAUGCCAACACUUUCAAAACAACACCAUAAUUUAAAAAAGAAAUCUAAAUAAACAACGUUGUCCUCAGUUCUUCUUAUUCAUGUCUGCUGACAUAGACAAGGCAUGCAACAUUAAUCCUUGUUUAUUCAAACAGAUUCUCUUGCAGCCGCCGCAUUAAAACUACAGAAAAAACCUGCCUAAUCCACCUUAUGACAUUGUUUAUAACCAUCAUCAUUAUUAUUAUUAUUAUCUACAAUAUGACAAAGCUGCCGGUCUAUCCGAAAUCCAGCAAUCAUGGGUUCCAAAAAGACAGUAAACUAUAAACUUAUCUGGGCUAAAUUCUUUCAGAUAUCGUUUUCACUUUCAUCAUCUGUGUUAUAUGAUGAAUCAAAAUUCUCGUACCCCAGGUUUUCUUAUGCUUUUGCCUGCAAAAGAGAUUGAGCGUGAUUAGGGUUAAGACCUGUGUGUUGAGGAGGAGAAACCAAGCAUAUUCUCAAAUUGUUUAGAAUGAAAUAUGGAAUCUAUCGAAAGCAUCUGUAAGGCAUGAGGAAUAAACUAUUGCAUAGUCUUGUUUGCCUACGGUUAGGUUGGUAGACAUGGGUCCGGAUUGUUCAACUGGUUGAUUGAAAUCACCUACCACCGAAGAUGUCAACUGUCAUAUUUGGCAGCUAGUAAGGACCCGCCCCGGUGUCAACAUCUAAGGGUUGUACUUCUCCACUAACUACAGCACCCCCUUGAUCCCUCACAAGAUUGGCGAGUCAAUCAUCUCUCUAUGGAAGGAGGCAUUCAACUAUCACAGAUACAAAAGAUACAUCUACCACCAAAAACUUGUAGGAGGUACUGAGUAGCUGUUAAAAGAUUUUAGCUCAGUCGGUUCGUGCAAUCACCUUUAAAAGGUGGCGUCCAGCAAGUUUGGGGGUUCAAAUCUCAGAAACUGCAACAAUUUCACUUAUCCCAUAUCCUCAGGCUACGGUCUUUUUGUACAAAAAAAAUAGUCCAACACACAGAUCAAAGACACCGAACACCAGAGAUAUUCAAGAGUUAGAUCAACUAGCAUAGAUCCACCGUUAAUAUAUCCUAGACCAAGGUGACCAACCUAAAAGGUGACACGAUUAGUAGCUAAAUCAACUAUCCUUUUUAGUGUGUGUUCCUAAUUUUACCCUUAGAAAUCGUCACUGGCUAGAGCUCUGAAAGAGUACCAAAUCUUACAUGCAAUGUUUCCCACUACGAUAUGUUACAGGCCUUAUCUCAAUGGAAGGUAUCAUCCAAAAUAAUAUAAACUACAAGUCAUGAACAUACAGACAAAUAAAUUUGUCAUAUAUUAUGUCAGCUAAUUGGAUAAAUAAGAUUAAGCAUAGAUCAGAAUAUAAAGUAGUUACAAUUUAUUUAGAACAAAUGCAAUAUUCAUAAUUUAAUUGAUCACUCACCUGGAAAUACAAGAAG
rnacentral:lncRNA from 1 species